AUAUGCAAAUCCUGCGCGGAGAGGAGCCGGUGCAUUCCUGGCGCGAUCGCCUUUUAUUGAAGCUUUUAAUUAAAGGGGCCAGUUGGCGAGCCCCUGAAACAACCGCCAAAACCCCCAAAAGAGAAAAAUAAACGCUGUAGCCUUCGGGAACGGUUGUUUCGGCUCCUGUUCUGUGGGCGGCUGAGGACCGCCGGCUGCCGGGCUCGGAGAAGAACAGUGCAGAGACAGUACAGGACUUUCACAAAGGUGCAGAGCUCCCAAGUGACACGGGCAGAGUUUGAACCGGUCUCCUGGACCCUAGGUGGAAGCUCUUAGGAAAGAUCACCCAAGUUUCCAGUUGAUUGGCUGGCCUGCAUCAGAUGUCAUGCUCUGCAAAAGCUGUUUAAUCCUGGUGGGGCUAGAAGUCCCGGCUGCAUAUAUUGUGUCUCUCAGCUGACUAUGUUGUGAAAAGAUUGAUUCUGUCAAGAUGAGGCAAGAGAUCUACUGAAACCAGCUUCUCCUGCU